rnacentral:piRNA from 1 species
UUAGAUAGAGCCUCUCCAUGAAAGUGAUU